rnacentral:tRNA from 1 species
GGGGGCAUAGCUCAGUGGUAGAGCAUCCGACUGCAGAUCGGAUUGUCCCCGGCUUAAACCCGGGUGCUCCCU